UAAUUCGAAGCAACGCGAAGAACCUUACCAGGUCUUGACAUCUGAAUGACCGUCCUAGAGAUAGGGCUUUCCUUCGGGACAUUCAAGACAGGUGGUGCAUGGUUGUCGUCAGCUCGUGUCGUGAGAUGUUGGGUUAAGUCCCGCAACGAGCGCAACCCUUAACUUUAGUUGCCAGCAUUCAGUUGGGCACUCUAGAGUGACUGCCGGUGACAAACCGGAGGAAGGUGGGGAUGACGUCAAAUCAUCAUGCCCCUUAUGACCUGGGCUACACACGUACUACAAUGGUCGGUACAACGGGAAGCGAAGCCGCGAGGUGGAGCCAAUCCUAAAAAGCCGAUCUAAGUUCGGAUUGCAGGCUGCAACUCGCCUG
rnacentral:rRNA from 1 species